rnacentral:rRNA from 1 species
AGGCCCCAGCGGGGAGCAUUUCUACACGAAUCCAGACAAAAGCCUCGCAAAGCGAAAUUACCCCUCUUUGCUCCCGGACAAAUUGCAGAAACACCCUCUCCACUUUGUCGCGGCGGCGACGGCGAGGGCGACAACGCAGAUCUCCUCUCGUCCUAAGGCUCCGGCGAUCUCUCUGGCUGUGUGAGCGGGAGAGAUGGAGCUGUGGAGCAAGCUGAGGAGCCUCGACGCCUACCCCAAGGUGAACGAGGACUUCUACAGCCGCACCCUCUCCGGCGGACUCAUCACCAUCGUCUCCUCCCUCGCUAUCCUCCUCCUCUUCUUCUCAGAGAUCCGGUUGUAUCUAUAUGCUGCUACAGAGAGUAAGCUCACAGUUGAUACCUCAAGAGGGGAAAGGUUACAUAUCAAUUUUGAUGUUACAUUCCCCGCUCUUCCCUGUUCUCUUGUUGCUAUUGAUACUAUGGAUGUUAGUGGAGAGCAACAUUAUGAUAUAAGACAUGACAUAAUGAAGAAAAGAAUUGAUCAUCUUGGUAAUGUAAUUGAAUCGAGAAAAGAUGGAGUUGGUUCCCCUAAGAUUGAAAGACCAUUGCAGAAUCAUGGUGGAAGGCUUGACCACAAUGAGGUUUACUGUGGGUCUUGUUAUGGUUCCGAAGAGUCAGAUGACCAGUGUUGUAACUCCUGUGAAGAAGUUCGUGAUUCCUAUCGGAAGAAAGGUUGGGCACUCACUAACGUAGAAUCAAUUGAUCAGUGCAAGAGAGAGGGCUUCGUUCAAAGGUUAAAAGAUGAACAAGGCGAAGGUUGCAACAUUCAUGGGUUUGUAGAUGUCAAUAAAGUUGCUGGAAAUUUUCACUUUGCCCCAGGAAAAAGCUUGGACCAUGCAUUCAACUUCCUUCAAGAUAUGUUGAACUUCCAGCCAGAAAAUUACAAUAUAAGCCACAAGAUAAACAAACUGUCCUUUGGGAAAGAGUUUCCUGGUGUUGUCAAUCCUCUUGAUGGUGUAGAGUGGAAACAGGAGCAGACAACUGGAUUAACAGGGAUGUACCAGUAUUUUGUGAAGGUUGUUCCUACUAUCUAUACAGAUAUUAGGGGGCGAAAGAUUCACUCAAAUCAGUUUUCUGUGACGGAGCACUUUAGAGAAGCAAUUGGCCUCCCGAGGCCCCCGCCCGGUGUAUAUUUCUUCUACGAAUUUUCACCAAUUCAGGUUGAUUUUACUGAAGAAAACACAUCGCUUCUUCACUUCCUGACAAACAUAUGUGCUAUUGUUGGAGGCAUAUUCACCGUGGCUGGCAUCAUAGAUUCUUUUGUGUACCAUGGUCAUCGUGCAAUCAAGAAGAAGAUGGAGAUCGGAAAGCUCGGGUAAGGUAAUUCCAGCCAGCCAGUAGGACGGUAGCCAGAAACUGAGUUGCUGCCCUGGAAAGGCGGGCAGAGAGCUCAGGAGGAAUUUUGGUCAAUGUUGUAAUACAGUUUCUACUCAGUCGACUGUUGCUAAUUAAGUAUUUGAUCCCCCAGACCAUAGAGGCUUCUUCUUCCUUGUGUAAGCAUUGCUUGCUAAGCAAUCGGAUCGCAGUGUGUGCCUUAUAGGUCAAGUCUUGUGAAACAUGCUCAAAACCCUCAAGUCAACGUUGCUGAAAACUCCAUUUUGUUGAUCUGUUCCGCCGUAUAGUAUAUGUUACGUGGUUUGCUAGUACUCGUGUAUUAGUGAAAAUUUGG